rnacentral:rRNA from 1 species
UGGGGAAUAUUGCACAAUGGGCGAAAGCCUGAUGCAGCAACGCCGCGUGAGUGAUGAAGGUCUUCGGAUUGUAAAGCUCUGUCUUUUGGGACGAUAAUGACGGUACCAAAGGAGGAAGCCACGGCUAACUACGUGCCAGCAGCCGCGGUAAUACGUAGGUGGCGAGCGUUGUCCGGAUUUACUGGGCGUAAAGGGUGCGUAGGCGGAUGUUUAAGUGAGAUGUGAAAUACCCGGG